GUGGGGAAUCUUAGACAAUGGGGGAAACCCUGAUCUAGCCAUGCCGCGUGAGCGAUGAAGGCCUUAGGGUUGUAAAGCUCUUUCAGCUGGGAAGAUAAUGACGGUACCAGCAGAUGAAGCCCCGGCUAACUCCGUGCCAGCAGCCGCGGUAAUACGGAGGGGGCUAGCGUUGUUCGGAAUUACUGGGCGUAAAGCGCGCGUAGGCGGACCAGAAAGUUGGAGGUGAAAUCCCAGGGCUCAACCUUGGAACUGCCUUCAAAACUCCUGGUCUGGAGUUCGAGAGAGGUGAGUGGAAUUCCGAGUGUAGAGGUGAAAUUCGUAGAUAUUCGGAGGAACACCAGUGGCGAAGGCGGCUCACUGGCUCGAUACUGACGCUGAGGUGCGAAAGCGUGGGGAGCAAACAGGAUUAGAAACCCUAGUAGUCC
rnacentral:rRNA from 1 species